rnacentral:rRNA from 1 species
UCAUAGAAAUAAAUAAGAAAAUUCUACCAGAGUACUAAGAACAAAAAAUUUAAAACUCAAAGGGCUUGGCGGUGUUUUAGACUACUUAGGGGAACCUGUCUCAUAAUCGACAAUCCACGAUAAACCUAACCUUCUUUUGCACUCAGUUUGUAUACCGUCGUCGACAGGUAACUUUUAAGAUAAGAACAGUUAGCUAACUAAAUAUUUAAAUUAGGACGUCAGAUCAAGGUGCAGCUAAUAACAAGGUGUAGAUGGGUUACAAUUACUACACUCGUAAUAACGGACAACAGCUUUAAAAGCAAUUGGAAAGGAGGACUUAAAAGUAAAAUGAAUUAUAUAAUCAUCUUGAAUAAAGCUCUGAAACGUGC